rnacentral:rRNA from 1 species
CCUACGGGAGGCAGCAGUAGGGAAUCUUCCACAAUGGGCGCAAGCCUGAUGGAGCAACACCGCGUGAGUGAAGAAGGGUUUCGGCUCGUAAAGCUCUGUUGUUGGAGAAGAACGUGCGUGAGAGUAACUGUUCACGCAGUGACGGUAUCCAACCAGAAAGUCACGGCUAACUACGUGCCAGCAGCCGCGGUAAUACGUAGGUGGCAAGCGUUAUCCGGAUUUAUUGGGUGUAAAGCGAGCGCAGGCGGUUGCUUAGGUCUGAUGUGAAAGCCUUCGGCUUAACCGAAGAAGUGCAUCGGAUACCGGGAGACUUGAGUACAGAUGAGGUAGGUGGAAGUCGAGGUGUAGCGGUGAAAUGCUUAGAUAUAUGGAAGAACACCGAUGGCGAAGGCAGCUGUCUAGUCUGCAACUGACACUGAGGCUCGAAAGCAUGGGUAGCAAACAGGAUUAGAUACCCGAGUAGUC